AGCUCUUGUACCAGGGAAAUGAAGAUUUGAUCCUGCACUGCUCUUAAGACACUCAGGAAUCUCUCCGUUACCUCAGAGAAUCUGGCCACAAACAGGACUCAGAGUGGAAAUUGCCCAACCUGUCUGCUAUCACUCUCUUGAAAGAGACAGAUCCGAUCAGCAUCUCUCAACUGUGACUCAUGAGGUAUUUUUGGCUAUGUCAAGAACAUUCUCAAACAAGGUUCCAGGAAGCUAAACCUUACAGAGAGAAACACAGGCUCUCUUGCCACCUGAUUCUCAUGUGGGUUUGGUCGAGGAAGGACCAAGAGGAACUUGGAAAUCAGAAGGAAAAAGAGUUUAAGUAUUUCCCAACAUUCUCUCUAAGGAUUUUGCCACUUCUUUGCAGAACAAAGAAUGCACACCUACCAAAGGGCUACUUUGCACUCAGCACUGAGUUUAUAUUUAAGCUGGUAGAUUUUGAAUGAAGUAGAUUACCCUUCAUAGUAUGAAUGGACCUCAUCCAAUCAGUUGAAGGCCUGAAUAGAACAAAAGACUGACCUCCCUGAGCAAGAGAGAAUUCUGUGGCAGGCUGCCUUUGGACUUCAACUGCAACAUCAGCUCUUCCCUGGGUCUCCCACUUGACAGCCUUCGAACUUGAACUGUAGCAUCGGCUCAUCCUGGGACUCCAAUCUGCCAGACCACAGCAGAUUUUGGACUUGCCAGCCUCUAUAAUCACAUGAGCCAAUUCCUUAAAAUAAAUAUCUCUCUCCAGACACACACAUUUUAUUGGUUCUGAAUAAUACACUCUUCAUAGUCUUCUUCUUGUUAUUAUUCUUCAGUGGGAAAGGAGGAUAAGAGCAAGUAUAUACUGAGUGCUUACUAUGUGCCAAACAUUAUGUUUAUUUAUUUACUUGUUUAUUUUUAGAGACACCAUUGGCUCCUCACAAUAUCUCUAUGAAAAAUGUAU
rnacentral:lncRNA from 1 species